CUCUGCUGCAGUUGCGAAACUCUUGCUGCAGUUGCGAAUUUUGACCCUGUUUUGACGCCUAAUUGAUGGACCAAUAGGAAAGCUUUAAGCUGGACCAAUCAGAUUGCGAGGUUUGUUUAACUAAUCAGAACACUGAUUUGUUGCUGUCACUCAAUUUCGGCACGCUGUUGGAACACGCCUCCCAAUCUCAGUCAUGGAGCUUCCAGCCAGAGGUACAAUGGAGAGUCAGGUGAUGAUAGGAAGAGAAGUCUUGCAAAGACUACAGUCGCGGUUGGAGCAGGCUUUUCAGAGGCAACCCCUGGAUCUAGACUAUUUAGAGUUUGUGUGUGUCAGUGAGAUGACACUCAUAAGAUCACUUGCUCCUUAUGUCACAUUCCCCCAAGAGGUGCUUGAAGGGCUUCACAAUCUUAUUACACUCAUCAACACUGAGCUAGAUCAAAGAAGAACCACCAUUUUGGUUGAUGCAGUUGAUGGAGCAAGAGGACGUCCAAAGCUAUGUGUUUCCAAAGACCACCUUGAUUGGUCUGGCUGUCCCAAAUAUAUGUAAAUUACUUGGGGUGUCACAGAAGACAAUUCGUCGUCGGAUGACCGAAUGGAACCUCUCAGUGAGAGACUCUUACAGCCAAGUAUCUGAUGAGGAACUGGACAG